CCAGAGGCAACUGGUCUGUGAAGCUGCUCCUUCCGUCAAUCUCUCCAGCCUUGACACCUCUUCUUCCCUAAAUGAAGGGGUGAGGGAGCCCCAGGCAGAGGGAAGAGGUGGGGAGGGCCUCCUGGGUUGGGUGAGGGUGGCCUUGUUUGUGGUCCUGAGGGCAGGGGACCCAUAAGCUUUCUCAGUCCUUCCUGGUCCCUAACUCCCUCUUGGCUCUGUGAAUGGCUCGCACACACUGGCUCUCGGGAGCAGACGUUGCGAUCCAGGAUGAGACAUAAAGUGGGUUCUUCCCAUGCACUGGUCUGUCUGGCACAAGCCACUCACCUGCACUUUCCAUCUCCAUAGCAUCUCUCUGAGGCAGGAUCUUCAUGCUAGAAAGCUAAGGUCGGAAAAGUGAGGAGAGGCCACAACCAGGAGGCACGGGGCCAGGAUUCCAGCCAGGCCUGCUGGACCAGCCAUGGGUGGUCAGCGAAGGCUAAGGGCCCUGGGAACGUGUCCUGCCAAGAUGUUUAUGAACUCUCAAAGCCCUGGGUAGCAGACGCCUAAUUGCAACCAGGAGAGAAGAGCAAACCAGCCUGCAUGACGGCCCAUUUUUCUGUUUCCAGGGCCUCUAAGCGUUUUCACUCUGCAUUUCUGAGGGGUGGCUCCCGGGCCAGCCCUGUUAGAAUCUGACACUUGGGGACCCAAUGUCUGGGUCUGCCAGAUUCCCACCCACUCUGCUCAGCUUUCCCAUCUACCUAGACCUGGAAAGGUGGACUGAGGCUGCUUUAUUGGGUCUGGAUCCGAACACACUUCUCUUUUACUCCCCACAGCAUGUCCCCAUCACUCCACAGCUCCCCCAAACCUGAAAGCUUGUCUAGGGGGAGGGGAGAAGGGGCGGAGGAAGAGGCAGAGAGGAGGUGGAGACAGAAGAGGAAAGAAGGGGUGAAGAUGCAUGAAGUCACAUGAGCACCCACUGGUGCUCCCAGAGCCUCCAGGGAAAACAGCCCUGAAGGGCCCUGGGGGAGAGGAAAUGGAUUUCAACAGGAUUCACAGAAAGCAGGUCAGACCUCGGGGAGAAUUCCUGGCUGUGCAAGAUCAACUCGGCUCUCCUUCCUGUCUUUGCUUCCUGGCCACACGUGUGGGUCAAAGGCCCUGAACACACCCUCCCUGGGCCUCCCAGCCUCUGUCCCUGCCUGGAAGACGUCCUAGGGCAAGAUGCCGCAUCUUGGAGAUCUCUCUUACUGGGGCUGGGCUAACUCUGGCUGUGCUGUCCCUGUUCUCCUCACCAGCGCGGUUUUCCAGGAGCCAAGAAGCAAUUCUGGAAUGUACAGGACGCGGUAUUGGUCCCUGAUCUGAUGUGCACGGUCAAGAGGGAGAGACAGAAAAAAAGCAAGCGCACAGGCGCACACAUGAUCACUACCGGAGCGAAGCGCGGCGCAGGGAAGAGCGGGGUCUGAGCCAAGGGGAGAGGGGCGGGCCCAUUUCUGCACUUCACAGCGAGGCCUCGGGCAAGGCGGCAGGCAGGCCAGGUCAGACCCGGCUUUGAGGCUCUGGUGGCGGGCUGGGAUUUAUUUUAAGGGACAUGGAACGCCACCGCAGGUUUGGGGGAGGGGCAGGAUUAAAGGAGAAGAUGCGCUCAGCACGUUAUAUUUAGUGGCUGACGCGCCGGAAGGGCUCGUUACCCGCAGCUACCACUGCGCCCCACGCCCGGAGCGCGGCCCCAGCUUCGCCCCCCGGGGCAGGGAUCCCCGGUCCCCGCCUUCACCACCUGGGGCAGGAACCCCAGUCCCCCUAUCCUGUCUUCACUCCUCGGGGCAGCGACCCCGGCCUCCGCCUUCGUCCCCCGGGGCAGGGACCCACGGUCCCCGCCUUCGCCCCGCGAGCAAGGAUCCCAACCCGCCAGUGCUGGAGACGAAGAGAGUGAGGGCGGAACCUGGCCCGGCGGCCUCCCAGCCAGGGUGGACAAAGCUGUCCCGGCACGCUUCGGCAGAGGGGAAACUGAGGCCAGGGGACUGAGUCCGCAGGCUCGCAGAGCGGGGGCCUGGGGCGGGGCCGGCACGCGCGGCGGGCGGGGCCUGGCCCCGCCCCUCC
rnacentral:lncRNA from 1 species